rnacentral:tRNA from 1 species
GGCGCUAUGGUCAAGAGGUUAAGACACCGCCCUCUCACGGCGGUAUCCCGGGUUCGAUUCCCGGUAGCGUCACCA